UUCACGGGAAAUACACCAUGAUUUUAUUUAUCCUUAAGAUACUUGACCAUAUGCAAAUUAAAACAUUUUAUUCUUUUAUUUUUUUUUUGAUUUUUAUAAUUCAAUAAAAUACAUAAAAAAGUACAAACACACACACACACAUCCCUUUUUAUUAUGUUUUUCUUAUACACCCACGUUUUCAUGUUACAAAUCACCAAAAUUCAAAAUAAAUCAAACAACACAUUACACAAAUCAAAAAUUACAAAAUAGCCCCUAAAAAUCCAGGAAAACUAUUGGAAAGUCUUUUGAACCACCGGAACAGUGGCGACACGUCUCCUUCACGUGCUGCCGCCACUGGCGGCGCGUGGGUUCACGCGCCGCUGCGAGGGUUCACGCGUCGUCGCUAGCAAAGCCUGAGAGAUCGGUGGAUCUGUGACGUUUUCUCCUCAUCUCCCUUUCUACACCGGCGGUGAUAACCACCGUCACCUGCAAAAGAAGAAAAAAUGCAAGCAAAGUUUCGGUUCUUCCUCCCUUUUUUUAGAUCUGCUCUCUUCUGGUUUCUCUCUUUCUCUUGGUUCGUUCUUUUUUUCUUCUGCAAGUGACAGAUCUGGCAGUUUGGUAGCUGCAGGGCUAACUUCAGGCUACUAUUUUGGUCAUUACUGUUGAGGAGACCGGAGGAGGGAGAUGGCUUUGUUGGGGAAGGAGACGCUGCUGCAAGGUGAGACUGAGAGAAGACAGUGGGGGCUGCCGCUGUGUUCGGUCUGAGGAAGAAAGGAGCCGCCGUGGGGCUGGUCUCAUGUGUCAGUGGGCGGCGGCUCUGGUUUGGCCAAGAGACGGAGGCGGUUGGGGAAGAAAAAGGAGGGGCUCUUUAGUUCUGGCAAAAAGGUCAUGGAUGUUGUGGCCGGGCCUCUGUGGCAGCUGCUUUGGACCAGGAAAAGGCGAAGGAAAAGAGAGGAAAUGCAGAGGCCGGUCUCUGUGGGGAAGAGAAUAGUGAGGGAAAUGGAAAUCUCAUGAGGGAGAUCCCGAAAUGGCUAGGAGGGGGACUGGUUUUGGGGGCAAAAGCUUUGGCUUGGAGAGGGAGAGCGGCGACUGGAGGAGGGGAUCGACCAAGGAAAAAGAAAAUGAUUUAGGUUUAGGUUUUUUGUUUUGUGGUUCCCCUUUUUUUGUACAAAAU
rnacentral:lncRNA from 1 species